rnacentral:rRNA from 1 species
GAUGAACGCUGGCGGCGUGCUUAACACAUGCAAGUCGAACGGAACUACUCCAAUGAGAGUCUUCGGAAAGGAUUUGGUUUAGUUUAGUGGCGGACGGGUGAGUAACGCGUGGGUAACCUGCCCUAUACAGGGGGAUAACAGUUGGAAACGACUGUUAAUACCGCAUAAGCGCACAGGAGCGCAUGCUCCGGUGUGAAAAACUCCGGUGGUAUAGGAUGGACCCGCGUCUGAUUAGCUGGUUGGCGGGGUAACGGCCCACCAAGGCGACGAUCAGUAGCCGGGCUGGGAGGGUGAACGGCCACAUUGGGGCUGAGACACGGCCCAAACUCCUACGGGAGGCAGCAGUAGGGAAUAUUGCACAAUGGGGGAAACCCUGAUGCAGCGACGCCGCGUGAGCGAAGAAGUAUCUCGGUAUGUAAAGCUCUAUCAGCAGGGAAGAAAAUGACGGUAACUGACUAAGAAGCCCCGGCUAACUACGUG